GGUUAUAGCUCAGUGGUAGAGCGCUUUCCUAGCAUGUGUGAGGCACUGGGUUCGAUUCUCAGCACCA
rnacentral:tRNA from 1 species